rnacentral:rRNA from 1 species
AGUGAACGCUGGCGGUAGGCCUAACACAUGCAAGUCGAACGGCAGCACAGUAAGAGCUUGCUCUUACGGGUGGCGAGUGGCGGACGGGUGAGGAAUACAUCGGAAUCUACUUUUUCGUGGGGGAUAACGUAGGGAAACUUACGAUAAUACCGCAUACGACCUACGGGUGAAAGCAGGGGAUCUUCGGACCUUGCGGGAUUGAAUGAGCCGAUGUCGGAUUAGCUAGUUGGCGGGGUAAAGGCCAAGCAAGGCGGCGAUCCGUAGCUGGUCUGAGAGGAUGAUCGGCCGCCCUGGAACUUAGCCACCCUCCUUGCUCCUGCGGUACGCAGCAGUGUGGUAUAUUGGGCAAUGGUCGCAAGUCUUGUCCAGCCAUACCGCGUGUGUGAAGGAGGCCUUCCGUUUGUAAUGCCCUUUUUUUGGUAAAGAACAGCUUCAGCUUAAUACCCCGCUUUUCUGACGGUACCCAAUGAGUAAGCACCGGCUAACUUCGUG